UACGAAGGGGGCUAGCGUUGCUCGGAAUGACUGGGCGUAAAGGGCGCGUAGGCGGAUUGCUUUGUCAGACGUGAAAUUCCAGGGCUCAACCUUGGGGCUGCGUUUUGAGACGGGUGAUCUUGAGUUCGGAAGAGGGUCGUGGAAUUCCCAGUGUAGAGGUGAAAUUCGUAGAUAUUGGGAAGAACACCGGUGGCGAAGGCGGCGACCUGGUCCGAGACUGACGCUGAGGCGCGAAGACGUGGGGAGCAAACGGG
rnacentral:rRNA from 1 species